UUGACCCGUCUCAGUCCUUGGUCUGGGUAAGACCAUCUCAACCAAAGGGCGGAACCGAUCAGGGUCUUACCUUACUGAGAUAGUAGGGAAGUUGGUCACAUUGCUCCAGCAUCCAAUCCAUUUGCUGGUUUCUUGUGACCCAUUCCAUGAUUCUCCACGAUCAAAGUGGCUCCACUAGGGGACAACGCCACGUACAACGCCUGUAAGGCAAAGAGAAGAAGAUUCCAUCAAGCAAGUGGAAAAGAACUGAGUGAGACUCAAAAGUCCCGUCUUGCUAACUACCCAAGCGGACUGAACAAUGUUCAGGUCGA
rnacentral:lncRNA from 1 species